CUAUGAUGUAACAAUCAUGGCGGAAGGAG
rnacentral:ncRNA from 1 species